rnacentral:snRNA from 1 species
GUGCUCGCUUCGGUAGUACAUAUACUAAAACCGGAACGAUACAGAGAUUAGCAUGGCCCCUGUGCAAGGAAGACAUAUAAAUUCGUGAAGCAUUCCAUAUUUUU